GAGAGUAUAGCUCAGGGGUAGAGUGCAUGAUCAGCAUGCAUGAGGUCCUGGGUUCAAUUCCCAGCACCUCCA
rfam:Camelus ferus unplaced genomic scaffold scaffold1310, whole genome shotgun sequence.